rfam:Callipepla squamata strain Texas jcf7180005231278, whole genome shotgun sequence.
GGUCUGGGAUGAGAAACAGCCAAAUCUGAGCAUCAGAAGAUAAAACAGUCUUCUAGGUAUAUGGAGUAUGCAGUUCUGAGA